rnacentral:rRNA from 1 species
AUCUGAUCCUGAUCCUGAUCACACUAGAUCUGGUUUGAUCUCCGAAGCUAAGUGGGAACAGGCUUGAUAAGUACUUGGAUGGGAGAUCUCUGGCAGAUGAAAAUUUGGGAGAGAUC